CGGGUUGUGUGAGGGAUAUGAGUGUCGCAGGAACCAAGGACAGAAAGCGCUCCAAGAGCUCUGUCGGCUUGUGCCUGCACAGCCCCAAGGCGCCCUGGAGGACUUUGGACAGCCACAGCCUUCCUGGUAAUCCCGGCUCCUUCAGCGCCACCUAGUGGCCACAAGGGAGAAUGACAGGAGCGCGCCGCGGACCUGGAGAGCAGAGCUCUCCUGUAAAACAGCCCUUUGUGUUGAGAAGGUGCUUUUCCUGCCAAAUCAAGUCACCGUGUGUUACAAAUCCUGGAAGGGCAAUCCGGAGGAACAAAGCCCUGAUUUUUUUUUUUUUAAAGCGAGCGUGGAAACCAAACCCUACUUCCUUCCUGCAGGAUUAGGGCUUAUUGAGGUUGAUGGAGUAGGUCAUCUUGUUUCAAGGAUGACCUGCUGGCAGCGCUACCUGGGCCCUGAGAGAGGGGAAAUAUUUAAGCUCUCUGGGGAGUUUAUCAAAGGUUUUUCUGUUCGGGUUACUAAACUGUUACAAAGGGCUCUCUAUGACUGUUCCACUCUAUGUCCCACCACCGCCGCCGUUCUUGCUUAAACUUUGUUAAUAGCACUGAA